rnacentral:rRNA from 1 species
UACGGGGGGGGUAAGCGUUGUUCGGAAUUACUGGGCGUAAAGGGCCAGUAGGCGGCCAACUAAGUCCGACGUGAAAUCCCUAGGCUUAACCUAGGAACUGCGUCGGAUACUGGAUGGCUUGAAUUCGGGAGAGGGAUGCAGAAUUCCAGGUGUAGCGGUGAAAUGCGUAGAUAUCUGGAGGAAUACCGGUGGCGAAGGCAAUCCCCUGGACCUGUACUGACGCUCAUGCACGAAAGCGUGGGGAGCAAACAGG